AAAGAUUAAGCCAUGCAUGUCUAAGUAUAAACAACUUUAUACUGUGAAACUGCGAAUGGCUCAUUAAAUCAGUUAUCGUUUAUUUGAUAGUACCUUACUACUUGGAUAACCGUGGUAAUUCUAGAGCUAAUACAUGCUAAAAACCCCGACUUCGGAAGGGGUGUAUUUAUUAGAUAAAAAACCAAUGCUCUUCGGGGCUCCUUGGUGAUUCAUGAUAACUUAACGAAUCGCAUGGCCUUGUGCCGGCGAUGGUUCAUUCAAAUUUCUGCCCUAUCAACUUUCGAUGGUAGGAUAGUGGCCUACCAUGGUUU
rnacentral:rRNA from 1 species